rnacentral:rRNA from 1 species
UAGUUGGUAAGGUAACGGCUUACCAAGGCAAUGAUGCAUAGCCGAGUUGAGAGACUGAUCGGCCACAUUGGGACUGAGACACGGCCCAAACUCCUACGGAAGGCAGCAG